AAGUCGUAACAAGGUUUCCGUAGGUGAACCUGCGGAAGGAUCAUUAACACGUAUCCAACGUUAAACCCCCCUGUGAACCUUAAGCGCAGCUCUUGCAGCCUCUAUAAGAACAGCAAUCCUGGUAAAUCAGUCCGAGAAAAGUUUGAUUCAGGACCUCUGUCUAAAAGGAUGCAAUCGAGCGCUGGAGUAAGUGGCUUGGUUUCCCCAAACAAUUAGUAUUCUGAAAGUGUUGCUACUUGUGUAAGGAUAACGCUUUACGAUUGCUGUAGGCCGAACACCGGCCGGCGACUCGGCCACCGGGCUCACGCCCCCUAAUCACGCCCAGCAGUUAUCUAUAACGGACGCCUCCACAGCAAGUGCGCCGGAGCUUACGUCCAAAACCGAACAACUGUUAACAAUGGAUAUCUUGGUUCUC
rnacentral:misc_RNA from 1 species